AAGGAAAGUAAUUACAAUCCCAACUAAUACGGGAAUUCUAUAAUUAUAUUGGAUUACAAUUCCUAAUUUAAAUCAAUUACAUGAUUCACACCAACAGAUCCAUCAAUACGGAAACACUACCCAUACAGAUGAGAGCGGGUCAUUUAGGUGGUGGCUCCAACACUACCCAUACGGAUGAGAGCAGGUCGUUUAGGUGGUGGCUCCAGCAAUACAAAGACACCGCCUAUACCGAUGUGGGCUUGGCUCCACGUGUGGCCCAGUAUGUGAUGGUCACACGUGAGGGGGUGUGUUGAAAAAUAUAAGUCUCACAUCGAAUGAUUGGCUAAAUAAAAGACAACUUAUAAUAAGUUGUUCUACUCCUAAUAGCACCGAGCCCUUUUGUGAUAAAACCCUACACCUACAGGGUUCUAUAGGUGGUUAAGUUGGGACAAUAUUGGGGUUGCUAAUGGUGGGACACUGGCCUAUCUCUCUAAGUUUGACAAAUCGAUGAACCAUCUUUUAGGGUUUGCUCAGCAUCAUUGUCCAAUCCUAGGCUCUUCAGGGCAGCCGCUUGGAGAUAGAAGGCAGUUGGCCAUUCAGGGUGUCGUACAAGAGCCUGCAUCGCAUCUCCAAGAGCUUCUUGUGCCAUAUCACUCAUCAGGUAACACAAGCAACGUCUAGCAAACAACGUUCCCGAUUCAAUGCUCCCGCGAUCAAUGAACUGCAAUGAGAAGCAAGAGGAAAUCCAGCUCAGAGUUACAUGAUACGCAUAUAAAAUCACAUGAAGGUUGGAAACUUGUAACUUUUUGUCUGCAGAACAGAAACUUCAAUUUCUGUAACCCCUCCACUAAUAGUAUUCUAUAAACUAGAUGAAGAAGCAAAUUACAUUGUGUAAGUCCUGAUUUUGAUGGCAUAUUAAUGAUGACGAACAAAUUUUGUAGUUCUAAAUUUGUGAGUUCUGACUUACUUCUGUGUAAAAAUCUAUGGCGCUAGCAAAUUCUUUUGCUCGAAAUGCAGCAUCCCCAUUUUUCUUAAAGUUCAAUCUUUCUUGCAUUUGGUCUGUCCACAUUUGGAAAGAAAGCUGCAAGGUAACUCCAAAGUAAGGGCAGUGCGUUAAACAAACUCAACACAAAAAGUCUGCUCAUAAACGUAAAAGAACAAAAUUUGCUAGGAAACGGGGAAAACAAGUUAUUUUUUUCUCCCUUGGUAGAUGUCACAAAAUAAAAUGCAGAAAAAUCAGAAAUGAAAGAUCACUAACUUCAGUUUGAGCCUCCUCAUCUUCCUUGUAUCCAAUCAUCAGCAAUAUUUCAUGUAUUCUAGCAAGAUCUAAUCUCGAGCAAGCUUCACCUAGAGGUGACAACACUGUCUGCUUUGGAGGAAUAUUUCCAUGUGGAACACCCAUCAAAACGUAUGAUGGAACCUGCUCCAAAACACCAGCUGAGAUGAAAUAAUUCCUUUUUGGCACUCUCUUUGCAGAGAUAAUGCAACUUGGGCAAGUCAUAUUUCGAAAACAUAUGAAAAGAAAAUCAAAUUUUUGGUUACACUGCCUCGCUUAAUCAUAACCAAUUUCCCACUUAGCCAAAAACAAAUCAAAUUUGAAAGCACAUAACAAAUAAAGUUUGGCAUACCUCAGUUUGUUCUUGAAGAGGAACAAGUGCACUCACAAUAUACUUGAAAUUUGGCCUGUUAUGAGGUUCAUACUGCAAACAUUUGGAGGCUAACCGCACCAGCUCAGUACCGUCAUCAUUUGAGAAAUGACCUUCCAAGCAUGAGUCCAUCAGCAUCAAAAAAUUCUUGUCGCGUAUGAGAUCAAGUGCCUUGUAGAAAGAAAAAUUAAACAUUAUUUGCUAGAAGUUUAACCAGAACCCACAAUUGAUAACCAAUUAGCACUUAUUAUUAAUCAGGAAAUGCUGAGAACGAGACACAAUCACAUAGCCUUAUCGUAGAGAACAUUUAUAAUCACAAGUUACAUACAUGGACCAUAAGAUGUCAAGCAAAAUAUCAGGGCAACAAUUAAUGCAUCUCAAUCGAACAUACGAAGGAAAGGGAAACUCACAUGGCUUGGAGGGAUAUGUCUGCCACUGAGCAGAUUAAGCAACAGGGUCCCAAAGCUGUAAACCAUACUUUCUGGUAUCACUCUUCCUGAACAUGUACAGUUAGCUCAACUAAAGACUAUCGAUCAUGUAGAUCAACGCGUCAAAAGCUCAUGCAUGACAAGUAUGAGACUGAAUUUGAAAACCGUUUUUCCAUUGGCUGAAGCAAUGAUGGUAUGAAUUACCUGUCCUCAAGAACUCUGGAGGGGCGAAAGCCAAGUUGGGGUAGCUCUUGCCAUCUGUGCUAUAAUUGAUAAGGCCAAAGCAAGAGAGUCUGGGAUUUCCAUCCUGUCAAUGAAGUUCUGACUCAAUGUAAUGUCCAACAAAAGAUUAACAAAUCGAAAGGGUAAAAGGGUCCAAUUAAUUACCUGAUCAAACAUGACUCUAUAAGCAUUGAGAUCAUGGUAUAAUGCCUUCCCUUUGCUGCUGCAGCAGUCUAAAGCUUGUGCCACAUACAAAGCCACUCUCAUCCUCAUUGCCCAUGUCAUCGGCUGUGUCUCCCCUACACCAAAUAAACCAAUUUCAUCCCAUAAUUACUUCAACAAAAAAAGAAUUAAAAUUUUCUGUUGAUCUGUUUCCUCAAACUUAAGAAAGCAGAGGGUUGUUUAAUAUUAUUUUCAUCAAACGCAUACCAUCAUACGAUUAACACCGAUACGACAAAGCAAAAUAAGUUUAGUUGAAGAUUUUAGAACUUACACUGGAAAAGGUGCUUAAAGAGAGUUGCAUUUGGCAUGAACUCAGCCACAAGGAAUCUCUCAUCGUCCUCAACGCAACACCCGAUCAAAUUUGCCAAACGCUCGUUGCUUAGCCUCCCCACAGCUCUAGCUUCCUCCUAUAAGAGUUGUAACCAAACCCACCACAUAUAAGGUUUAUUCAUUUUUUUAUUUUAAAAAUAAUAAUAAGUAAAUUUAGUCAACUGCAAAUUUACGGACAAGAAAUGGGCGGGAAUCGGGCCAAGCGGAGAGGGUGUAGCGCUUAACAGCGAUCAAACGGCCGUCUUCCAGCUUCCCUUUGUAGACCACAUUGGGACCUUUCUCUCCAAGCUCAGAGACAACAUUAUGGGACGAGAAUCCUGACGUGGCAACUCUUAGUUGGUCCAAGCUGAACUCAGGCAGCCAGUACUUCUCGUUUUCCUUCCCAGCCUCUGCAUUUCAGGAAACCAAAAAAAAAGUGUGCAAAACUUUCUCGGGAAAGUAAGGGAAAACAACAAUACAAAAAAAUAAUAAUAAAAUAAAAACUCACCUAUGUCUUCCGAAUCAUUGAGGUUGGAUAUGUUAUUGGAUGGGCGGAAGCAAAGACAGAAUCUGGUUCCCAUUAAUGGAUGAUGAAGCAAGUCGUAGAGAGACAGAGAGAGACAGAGAGCUUGAAAUUUAAAACAUGUGCAUGUAUCUCGAAAGUUUUGGCUGUUUCUUGUAGACUUUAGUUUCCACCAGUUUCCUGGGUGCUACUAGGAGACUAAGGAGGAGAGAAAGGGGGUUGAAAUUCAUGGUCACCAUUAAUAUCAAGAUAUGAAAAGUCGUGUUAAUUAUACGCAUGACAAAUGAAAUGAAAUUCGUGUGGGAACGGAGACGCAGCCGAAAGACUCACAAAGUCAACAAGGGAAGCUUCCAUUGCAUUACUUACUAGCUAGCAAAUUACACUUUGAAUACGAUCAUAUCUCUUUGCGUUUUAUGUGUACAAGUCUCGUCUUCUUCCUCUACCCAAAAGUUUUAAACAAACAAAAAGGUCCAAACAAGUCAAGAGGAGGACUUGUCAUUCGCUUUAAUAAUAAUAGUCUUCGAGAGCAGGAAAUAUUAGCAAAUAGCUACGUGGGUAUCUUUGGGGUUUCCAACCUCAUACCACAUAGGAAUAAACUAUUAACCUCAUACCCUCGUCAGUAGCUACCUAUUCUUUAUAGGAAAAUGCUAGGCACUUAAAUAAUUAAAAGACAACGUGUCUAUGUAGCAAAAAAAAGGAUAUUGACUUGUACCCCAAAAAAAAAAAAGGAUAUUGACUAAAAAAAGAAAACAAACACAAAUGUGUUGUAAAGAAGAAAUAUGUGGAGUCCACAUUUAUGGGGCCCACAAAGAAAAUUAAGCAAAGUAUUUGGAGGUUUAUCAGCUGCACACUCACGGAUGUGUAUUGUAGAAUCACGGGUGCCAUUUAACAUCUCUAUAAAUAGAGAAAGAAGAAGAGAGAAAGAAAAGAAAAAGAAGAAGAGAGAAAGAGAUAGGAAACGGAAAGAAGAAAAAGAAGAAGAGAGAAAGAGAUAGGAAACGGAAAGAAGAAAAGAAAAAGAGAGAAAGAGAUAGGAAACGGAAAGAAGAAAAAGAAGAAGAGAGAAAGAGAUAGGAAACGGAAAGAAGAAAAGAAAAAGAGAGAAAGAGAUAGGAAACGGAAAGGAGGAAAGGAAAGGAGGAAAGAAGAGGGUAAGUAAGCAGAGAGAAAAUUCAGUGAGUCACACAUAUUGUAAACACUAUUGUAGUCAUAUUAUUAUAUAGUGAAAAGUUACUGUUGCUGCUCUCCGAGGACGUAGGCGUAGCCGAACCUCGUUAAAUACUGUGUCUCAUCUACUUUACGUGCAGCUCAAAAUUCGCACAUAUCCCAGGUUAUUUUAUAACACGUUAUCAGCACGAUAGUCUCUCCUUUUAUUUCUGAAAUUUUUCCAACUCAACACUAUAUAAUAUACUAUAUUUAUCUGUUUCUCUAUUACUAACCAUUAACAAAAAUGGACCCUUGGUAAUACUAAACAUAUUAUCAGUGGGAGACCGUUACUAAUACUAACUUUUUUUUUAUUCGGUGGUGGUUUUAACCCCACAUUUAAUUUUAUUUAUGGUAUGGUGUAGGCUUAUUACCCAUACGGCAAUAUUUAUUUAAAGGGUGGUGCGGGUUUAUCGUCCACGCCUUUACUUUUAUUUAAAUAUAUGGAGCAGAAUUAGUGCCCAUACAAGCACAUUUACUUUACCGCACAUUUAAGGUAUGGUGCGGGUUUAUCGUCCAUACCAGCAAAUUCAUAACACUUUACUUUUAUCAUCAAUUAAUAUACCUGAAUAAUGAGGACCUGAAAUUCCUAUUAAUAAGUGGCUUAAUAUUCCAGAUCUCGAGCCUAAAGUUUUGGAUGGCAAAUUUGGCAAAACUAGAGUUUGCUGCCUUGGACCUUUCCGGGGACAACUAUUUAUCAUGGGUCCUGGAUGCCAAAAUUCAUCUACGAGUCAAUGGCCUCGGACAAACAAUUGUAGAUGAGAAUGAUGCUUCGCCUGAAGAGAAUGCGAAGGCCAUGAUCUUUCUUCGCCGCCACAUCCAUGAAGCGCUGAAGAGCGAAUAUGUGGUGGUUGAUGAACCGUUGGUUCUGUGGAAAGCUCUAGGUGAAAGAUACGAUCACCAGAAGACGGUGACUCUCCCAAGAGCUAAUACGAAUGGACCCACUUGAGAUUUCAAGAUUUCAAGUCAGUGUCCAAGUAUAACUCUGCUAUGCACAGAAUUACCCCAUUAAUGAGGCUAUGUGGGGAAAAUAUAUCUGAUGAGGAUAUGCUCGAAAAAACUCCGAGCACUUUUCAUGCUUCAAAUGUCCUCCUUCAGCAGCAAUACAGACAUAGCGGUUUCAAGAAGUACUCGGAACUUGUAUCUUGCCUCUUGUUAGCUGAGCAGAAUAAUGAGCUCUUAUCAAAGAAUCACCAAUCUCGCCCAACGGGCUCAGCACCACUUCCUGAAAUAAAUGCUGCAUCUCAGGAAGUGAAUGCCACUUCAUCUCGUGGCAGUAUCUACAAACGUGAGCGAGGGGGCAAGCGUGGCCACUGGCAAGGAAGUAGAAAAAAUCGUGGUGCUCGUUCAGAGGGUUUAGGUCCAAGGAGCGGUCCAUCCACGAAUGGCAAAAAUGCAUCCCGUAAUAAGGGAAAGGCACAGAUGAGCCAUGUGCCUAGAAAUGUUGAAAGCCCUUGUCACAGAUGUGGUGCAAAGGGACAUUGGGUGCGCGCAUGUCGUACGCCCAGGCAUUUGGUUGAUCUCUAUCAAGCUUCACUUAAGAACAGGAAAGUGGAGAUAAAUUACAUUGAUCAUGCUCCGCCAGCCACAGAUGGCUCAUCAGAAAUAUCACGUCAGCUAAACAAGACGCAUCUAGCUGUUUCUGAUUUUGUUACUGAAAAAGGGAAUGAAGGUUAUGUGUCCGAAUUAGAUUAAAUUCCUUAAUAUACUAUUUGUAUUAGCUGAAGUGUUGUUUAAAUUUCAAUCCAAUAAAAGUGGUAAUGUUUUCUUCUUUAUUAAUCCAGCUUAUUUUACUUAUUUGGUGGCAUGGAUGCAAAUUAUGGAUGCCCUCAAAACAAAGGCUAUGGCAGAGAUAUUUGUCUCGCAGACAGCGCAACUACUCAUACGAUCCUUCAAGAUCGGAAGUAUUUCUCAAAAUUAAUGCUUACAAAAGCAAAGGUAACAACCAUAUCAGGUCCUGCAGAUCUGAUUGAAGGUUCAGGAAUAGCCCAAAUUAUGUUACCGAAUGGAACAAUACUGUCCAUUCCAGAUGCUUUGUAUUCAUCUAACUCCAGAAGGAAUCUGUUGAGUUUCAAAGAUAUACGUUUGAAUGGCUACCAUGUUGAAACAAAGAAAGAGGAAAACAUGGAAUAUCUUUGUAUUACCUCCAGUGAUACUCAAAAGCGUAUACUGGAAAAGCUUUGUGAGCUCUCAUCAGGGUUGUAUUACACAACCAUACGGACAAUUGAGGCACAUAGUGUCAUGGACCAAGAGUCCACUGACUCAAAUGCUUUUAAGCUUUGGCAUGACAGGUUGGGUCAUCCUGGAUCCACCAUGAUGCGCAGGAUCAUCACCAACUCUAAAGGACAUCCCUUGUUGACUAAACACAUUAUGUUAUCAAGCGACAUCUUUUGCCAAGCUUGUUCACAAGGGAAGUUGGUGAUCAGACCAUCACAACCAAAGGUUGAUGUUGAGUCUCCAUCAUUUUUGCAGAGAAUUCAAGGGGACAUUUGUGGACCCAUUCAUCCCCCAUGUAGACCAUUUCGGUACUUUAUGGUCUUGGUAGACGCAUCUACCCGAUGGUCACAUGUUUGUCUUUUAUCUACUCGGAAUAUGACAUUUGCUAUGCUUUUGGCUCAGAUAAUUAAAUUACGAGCCCAAUUCCCAGAUUAUCCCAUUAAGUCAAUCAGACUCGAUAAUGCUGGUGAAUUUACAUCUCAGACUUUUGAUGACUACUGCAUGUCACUAGGCAUUGAUAUUGAACAUCCUGUUCCCCAUGUGCAUACUCAAAAUGGCUUGGCAGAAGCUUUAAUUAAACGCCUUCAAUUGAUAGCACGCACUUUGCUAAUGAAAACAAAGUUGCCAUUUUCUGCUUGGGGAUAUGCCAUUUUACAUGCAGCAUCGCUUGUGCGAUUGAGGCCCGUCACCAACAAUCAAUGUUCUCCAAUACAACUCGUAUUGGGAAAUCAACCAAACAUUUCACAUUUAAGAAUUUUUGGGUGUGCAGUAUAUGUGCCCAUUGCACCACCGCAACGUACUAAGAUGGGCCCUCAACGCAGAUUGGGAAUUUAUGUUGGUUUUGAUUCACCAUCUAUCAUCAGAUACUUGGCACCCCUGACGGGUGAUAUUUUUACCGCACGAUUUGCGGAUUGUGAUUUUGAUGAGACAAUCUUCCCACCAUUAGGGGGAGAAAAAUCUGUGUCUAAAGAACAAGGCAAACUCAUUCCUGAAAAACGACAUGAAUUAUCCUGGAAUGUAUCCACAUUGUCUCAUCUCGAUCCUCAUACUGCUCAAUGCGAAAACGAAGUGAGAAGGAUCGUUCACCUCCAAAGUAUUGCCAAUCAGAUGCCAGAUGCAUUUAAUGAUGCAGCAAAGGUGACAAAAUCUCAUAUCCCAGCUGCAAAUACACCCGCACGGAUUGAUGUCCAUAAUGGACAAAGCAAUAUCCCAGCAAAUGGUUCAUCUGCUGCACGCCUAAAACGUGGCAGACCACUAGGCUCAAAGGAUUCAAUUCCUCGAAAGAGGAAGUUGAUGGACAAAAUGAAUCCAAAUGAAAUAAAUAGAGAGCCCACAAUUCAUAAUUCAAAUGCCCCCAAAGAGGGACAGGUACUUCUUGAUAAGGAAAACGUCAUUGGUGAGACAAGUGCCCCUGGAGUGGCAACCGUACCUGAAAGUCAAGAAAUCUCCAUAAAUUAUACGUCCACUGAUGAAUUGUGGAGUAGAAAUGAGAUGAUCAUCGAUGAUAUAUUUGCAUUCUCAGUGGCUGCUGAGAUCAUAAAAGAUGAUGAUAUUGAGCCGUGCUCUAUUAAUGAAUGUACACAGAGGCAAGAUUGGCCCAAGUGGAAAGAUGCAAUCCAGGCAGAAUUAAAUUCUUUGGAAAAAAGGAGUGUUUUUGGACAUAUUAGUCCAACUCCACCCAAUGUGAACCCUGUAGGUUACAAGUGGGUAUUUACAAGAAAGCGCAAUGAGAAAAAUGAGAUCUCAAGGUAUAAAGAGCGACUCGUUGCGCAAGGUUUUUCACAAAAGCCUGGAAUUGAUUAUGUGGAAACGUACUCUCCAGUAAUGGACACAAUUACAUUCCGUUACCUAAUAAGUUUGGCGGUUUCAGAAAAACUUAAAAUGAGACUCAUGGAUGUCAUUACCGCAUAUUUGUAUGGAGAAUUGGAUACAGAUAUAUACAUGAAAGUUCCAGAAGGAUUCAGGUUGCCUGAAGCAGCCAGAAACAAACCACGGGACAUGUUCUCAGUUAAAUUGAGAAAAUCAUUAUAUGGGCUAAAACAAUCUGGACGAAUGUGGUACAAUCGUCUCAGUAAGUAUUUACUGAAGGAAGGAUACACAAAUGAUUCUAUUUGCCCAUGUGUGUUUAUUAAGAAAUCAGAGUCUGGAUUUGCGAUAGUGGCAGUAUAUGUCGACGACAUGAAUCUAAUUGGAACUUCUGAAGAGCUUCAAAAGACUGUUGAUUAUCUCAAACGUGAGUUUGAGAUGAAGGACCUUGGAAAGACAAAAUAUUGUCUUGGCUUGCAGAUUGAGCACAGUGCUAAUGGAAUUUUGGUGCAUCAAUCAACUUAUACUGAGAAAGUAUUGGAACGGUUUGGCAUGGAUAAAGCCCAUCCACUUAGCACUCCAAUGGUCGUUCGAUCGCUUGACACUAAGAAAGACCCAUAUCGUCCAAAAGAGAAUGAUGAAAUGGUCCUUGGUCCAGAAGUACCAUAUCUUAGUGCAAUAGGUGCCUUAUUGUACCUAGCACAAUGUACCAGACCAGACAUAUCAUUCUCAGUAAAUCUGUUAGCAAGGUACAGUUCUGCUCCAACAAGGCGACACUGGACCGGCAUCAAACAUGUUCUACGAUACCUUCGUGGGACAACAGACAUUGGGUUAUUCUAUUCCAGCGAAUCGACCAAUGCCCAGAGUAUUAUUGGUUAUGCUGAUGCAGGAUAUCUCUCUGAUCCACAUCAAGGACGAUCACAGACUGGGUAUGUAUUUACAUGUGGAGGAACUGCGAUCUCAUGGCGCUCAACAAAACAAACAUUAGUGGCCACAUCUUCUAAUCACUCAGAAAUACUUGCCCUCCAUGAAGCCAGUCGUGAAUGCGUUUGGUUAAGGUCGGUAAUCCAUCACAUCCGAAGCACAUGUGCCCUACCCUCAACAACAGACACUCCAACAAUUCUGAAUGAGGACAAUGCAGCUUGUAUUGCUCAGAUCACAGGAGGAUAUAUUAAGGGUGACAGGACCAAGCACAUAUCACCAAAGUUUUUCUAUACACAUGAGCUCCAGAAGAGUCAAGAAAUCAAAGUCAGACAAAUCCGUUCAAGUGAUAACCUGGCAGAUCUCUUCACUAAAUCAUUGCCGAAAUGUACAUUCCAAAAGUUAGUGCAUGGCAUCGGAUAACGACAACUCUGCAAGCAAUCAAGUUGGAGCAUGCAAAAUCAGGGGGAGCAUUCAAAAGUCCUCUAACAUAGGACAUAUGCACGUUGUACUCUUUUUCCUUCGCUUAGGUUUUUUCCCACUGGGUUUUUCCAAGCAAGGUUUUAAUGAGGCAACCAAUCUAGGGACAUGUGGUCUCCAAGGGGGAGUGUUGUAAAGAAGAAACAUGUGGAGCCCACAUUUAUGGGGCCCACAAAGAAAAUUAAGCAAAGUAUUUGGAGGUUUAUCAGCUGCACACUCACGGAUGUGUAUUGUAGAAUCACGGGUGCCAUUUAACAUCUCUAUAAAUAGAGAAAGAAGAAGAGAGAAAGAAAAGAAAAAGAAGAAGAGAGAAAGAGAUAGGAAACGGAAAGAAGAAAAGGAAAGGAGGAAAGAGAGAGAAGAGGAAAGAAGAGGGUAAGUAAACAGAGAGAAAAUUCAGUGAGUCACAUAUUGUAAACACUAUUGUAAUCAUAUUAUUAUAUAGUGAAAAGUUACUGUUGCUGCUCUCCGAGGACGUAGGCGUAGCCGAACCUCGUUAAAUACUGUGUCUCAUCUACUUUACGUGCAGCUCAAAAUUUGCACAUAUCCCAGGUUAUUUUAUAACAAAAUGAAUAUAUUGCAUGCAUAAAUAUUAAAUAAUGGGAGUUGUAACUUGUAUCUAUCAAUGAUACAGUAAUACAUAGAGCACUAGACGUGACGCAUGCAUGACCAAAAGAAAGACAAGUUGUAGUAGACCAAGAGGCCGACUGAGAGACUAUCCAUGACUGGAUGAAUAGCAGAAAGUUCUUCCUUUUUAGCGUUUUUCUAUCUAAAUACGUUUGUUAAUACCAUAUAAUGGAGUUUUAGUCCCCCGUAAAAGUUAGUAUUUACUUAUUUUUGUACUAAUAAUAUCAUACAACCGUCCCUAUUUUUUGUGCAUAUGAUAAUUUUUAUCCUUCUCUUCUCUUUUGUAGGUUUCCUCAAAGACCUCGUGGAAGAAGUCAAAAAAAAACAAAACAAAACAAAACAAAACUAUACUUGCUAGAAGUUGAGUCACUCAAAGACCUCGCGGUAUCUAGUCCAGAAAAGACAUGUUGCAUGAUCAGAAACCCAAAAACAUUUAUAGGAGAGGAAAACAAACAAGUAAUUUGACUUCUGUUGAACCCUUAGGACCAAAAUACAUGAAAAGAAACACCAACACCAACCUAAUAUACAGUUAAUCCUUUGGUGCUGCGGAGCAGAGUUCAAAUAUGCUAAAGAGUGAUUGUUCAUGACUGGACACAAGUUUAGUUGAAAGAAUUGGAAACCCCCCUACCCAUACAUUUUUCAGCUUAUAUAUUUUUCACUUCCAAGGAUGUGCCCGCUUUUGGAGCUUCCUCUGCAUAAUUGUCCAGCCCUAUGCUCUUUGACACUAAAUAACUAUGUCUCAAAUGGAGGCACAUUUCCAGGUGGAAUACCCAUCAGAACGUAUGAUGGAACCUGCUGCAUAUACAAACCACACAGAUGAUAGCAGCAGCAUUAAGGAAAAUCAGCUUUUCAAUAUAGGCAAAACAAAUCAAAUUUCAAAGCUAUGAUUUUACAGAACAAAUAAAGUUAGGCAAACCUCAGUUUCUUUCUGAAGAGGAAUGAGGGCAGUCAAAAGAAACUUGGCAUUUGGCCUCUCGAGAGGUUCAUGCUGCAAACACUGUGAAGCCAACUGCACUAACUUAGUUACAUCAUCAUUUGAGAACUGGCCUUCCAAGUAUGGAUCCAUCAGCCUCUUGACGUUUUUACCGCGUACGAGGUCAAGUGCCUUCCAAGAAAGGAAAAGGAAUGAAAAGUAUUUAGCUAGAGCCUCCUUAAUAUGACAACUGGUCUGUAUGGAAUUGUAAUCAUAAUCCAGUUCAUAAACAUUUAAAGCCAGUUGUAUGAUCAGGAGAUGCUGAGAAUGAGGCACAAGAAGAUAUAGCUUUAACUUAAAGCACAUUUAAACACAAAUUGCCUUUUGUAAUAUAUAUUCUUGUUGGUCAGACUUAAUGGAACAUAUUAAGGAAGAAGAAAGUUACAAGACUUGGGGGGGGGGGGGGGGGGGGGGGGCCCCCCCCCACCCCCAAAAAAAAAAUAAAAACUUCUUUCCAAAAGAAUUUUUUUUUUUUCUCUGUGCGCCCAACGCAAAAAAAAAAAAAUGUUUUUAUAUAAAACUACACAAAAAAACAAGAGAUAGAAGAGAAGGAGGAACCCCCCUUCCCACUGUGGUGAGAGGGGGACAGACCGGACCCCCCACACCCAAAUAAUACGCGGGGGGCACAAGGAAGAUUUUUGAAUGAUCUCCAAAUAUUCUAGCAAAAACAGAGGAGAAAAAAAAAAUAAAAAAAUUUAUUGUGUAAUAUCUCUGUGCAGUAGCAAGGCAAAUGAGUAGUGGUGACGUUAGAUGAAAAACAAGAAAGAAAUAUAACAUUAUGCUAGUAUCUUUCCUCCUGCUUGCUGUGGUAGGAACAGAGAGGAGAGAGACGAGGAGAGAUAAUCCAUGAUGUGUGCCCGCCCGCGGACGACCGAGGAGAGAGAAAUGAUAGAUACAUUGAUUUUAUUCAGUUGUAGAGGGAAGCCAAAAAGCGACCGCAUUACAGCUCAUAGACGGGGCAACGGGACUUGAAAAGAGGGAUAGGGAUUACUACGCUUCAGGCAUUAUGCAGGGCUAUGAAAUAGAGCAACGAUUACAUCUACGACGUCCAUGCAUUCGAUCCCGAUUAGGCUGAAANNNNNNNNNNNNNNNNNNNNNNNNNNNNNNNNNNNNNNNNNNNNNNNNNNNNNNNNNNNNNNNNNNNNNNNNNNNNNNNNNNNNNNNNNNNNNNNNNNNNCUGUUUUACAUCAACUGAAGCAAUGACGGAAUUACUUGUUGUCAAGUAUUCUGGAGGGACAAAAUCCAGGUUGGUAAUAUUAUUGCUCUUGCCAUCCUUGUUAUUCUUGAAAAGGCCAAAGCAGGAGAGCCUAGGAUUUGAAUCCUGUCAAAUGCAUGACCCAAUGUAAGGAACGGGGAACAAAUUUAUUAAAUACAGUUUAAAGAGAGUGAAAGGCCCCAAUUACCGGAUAAAACAGGACUCUGGAAGCACUGAGAUCAUGGUAUAAUGUCUGCCCUUUGCUGCUGCAAUAUUCCAAAGCUUGAGCCAGAUACAAAGCCACUCGCAACCUUAUUGCCCAAGGCAUGGGCUGGGUCUCCCCUACACCAAUUUAACCAAUUUAAUAAAGUUUCUACUUCUCUUAUUUCAGCCGAAGUUGCAGUUUGAUUGCUUCAAAAAUGUACUAAAAGAACGUGAAAUCUUGAAUGACCUGUUGCCUCAACAAACCAGACAAACCCCACCUUCUUCAGACACAUUCCGGGAACAUCGAAGUAAGCCAAAUUUAACAGUAAGAUCAGACUAGCACAGCGAAAGAAUUUUAAAAUUUGAGAGGAAGUUACAAAGGAAAAGAUGCUUAGAGAGAGUUUCAUUAAGCAUGAACUCAGCCACAAGCAAUCUCUCAUUGCCUUCAAAGCAACACCCUAUCAAAUUUGCUAAGCGCUUGCUGCUCAGCUGCCCCACAGCUCUAGCUUCUGCCUGCAACCAAACCCAGCAGCAUAUAUACUCUCACAUACCGGAGUUAUACAAAGCAAAAAUAGAAAAUCUAGCCAACUUCAUACGUACAAGAAAUUGGCUGCAAUCAGGCCAAUCAGAUUGGUUGAAGCGCUUAACAGCCACCAAAAGGCCAUCUUCCAGCUUCCCUUUGUACACCACAUUGGAAGCUCCCUCUCCGCCCUCAGAGACAACAUUUCCCAACAAGAAUCCUAAAGUGGCAGCUUUCAGUUGGUCCAAGCUGAACUCGGUGAAACUGGGCAACGAGUCCUUUUCAUUUUGGCUUCCGUUCUCUGCAUAUUACAAAAGCAGAGUCAAAACUUUUUCGGGAAUGUGACAGAAAAUUUGAAAAAACAAAAACAAUGGUAACUAACAAUGAAAGGUCACCUGUGUCUGGUGAAUCGUUGAGUUUGGACACGACAUCAGACCGCCGGAAGCUAUCGGAAGGUUGUAAGCAAAGAGAGAAUCCGGCUCCCAUUGGCUGAUGAAUUCAAUCCAAGUGGGAGAGAAAUGGCUUGAACUUAAAAAUGGGGGGCCAACUUGAUGUAGAACCACAUCACUUCCACGAAGGUCAAAGGCUCAAAUUCAACGAGGGAGACUUCCGUGCAAUAACAUCAUGGACUUUUUCAUUGUCUUGUUUUCUUAUUAAAUCCAAAGCAUUUUAUUAAGACCAAUGGUGCUGCCUCAUUGCAAUUUUAUAUUUCCUUCUUAUCCCAUGAGCCACCUUCCUCUAGGGGAAUGCCAAAUGAUACGGAAAAUUAAAUAAGUACAUGAUAAAGAAUAAGUGAUCUAUUAUUCAUUUCAAAUCCCCUGUUUUAAUUCAUAAUCGAAGAAUAUGUAUGAUUCAGAGGACAUCUUACAUGAUGACAAACUCAAAAAUUUAAAUCAAAUGAAUUACAGCAGGGCAAACAAACAAUAAAUUUUGACUUGUAUAGAUCAAAAUAAUUAAAAAGAUACACCAAGACCAACACAUAGAUUGUUACAAUUAAUCCUCUGUUGCUGCAGAUAAGAACUCAAAUGUCAAAGUGGGAAUAUGGAAAAAGCUAGAUACAAUUGUAAAUGAAAGAAGAGGGAAAACACCUCUAUGUUCCAUCUUUUAGAGUUUCCUGUGCAUCAUUGUCCAUCCCUAGGCUCUUUAGGGCAGCUGCUUGAAGAUAGAAGGCAGUGGGCCAUUCAGGGUUUAUUACUAGGGCUUGCAUAGCAUCUCCAAGAACUUCUUGUGCCAUAUCAUUCAUCAAGUAACAUAAGCAACGUCUAGCAAACACAGUUAGCAAUAUUAUCAUCCUGCCAUCAAUGAACUGCAAUGAAGAGCAACAAGAUCCACCGAGGAGUAAGACUAAAAACGUAUGCAAUUCUACUCUCUAUCUGUCAUAUGCAUAGUAGUAGGCUUGUAAAGCUAAUAUUUCUUAAGGAAUUACCAUUUCUAAUCAUGUGAGGUUAUCUGAUUAUACAAAGUCAUAGAUUUCUAUGUGCAAGACAGAGAGUUUAAAUUCUUGUAACCCCGCUACUAACAACUUUGUCUAACUUAAGUCCAGAUUAUGACCACACACAAAAAAAAAAACAAAAAAACAAAAAAACAAAAAUAAAACCUUAAGUCCAGAUGAAUAUGUAUAUGGAUUUUGAUGAAAGAACUUGUGACAUGCAAACUUUGUAUUUCUAAAUUUGUGACUUACUUCCGAUUGUCAUCAAUCACAAAAACCAAGCAUUUAAAAAAUGAUUGUUCAACAAGAUUAUCAAAUCCAAAGAAACAUAAUGUUGAUCUUAAAAAGAUCAUCCACAAUACACCAAAAACCACAAAAAAUCAUCUUCACUCAUUCAUAUCAUCCUCGUCAUCAUUAAGAAGGUCAUCAUCCAAAACCAAACUACCAUGAUUUGAACCAAUAUCAUUAUUAUUAGCAUCUUCAUCCAAGGGACGCUCCAACCAACUCAUAUCAUAAUAUAAAAAGUUAUAAUUUGAUUAUAUUAUUCUAAACAUAAAAAUGUAGUGAAUCACUAAAUUUUUUUUAAUACUCACUUGAUCUUUCAACACGACCUCGUUUGUAUCGAAUAAUAGGCGGAGAAGGGAUACGCUCAUUAAAAGUAGGCUCACUAGGAGCAGUAGGAGGAUCAUCGAGAACAGACUUACGAAUAAUUGACUCUCGAGGUUGUAGACCACUUUCAUAGGUAGGAAUUGGCACAUUCCUAAUGGCAUCAACAUCAAAUAUGUCUUCCUCUUCUAUCCAAGAAGGAUCAAAUGGAAGAGAUGGUUCCUCAACCUCCGUUAUCCAUUCAUCAUCAGAGGGAAUAUCAUCCACUAAUAUUGGAUCAACCUUUCUCUUCCUUUGAAUACUUCGUUGCUUUAGAGCCGUAUUAUAUUUCACAUAGACUAGAGCAUUUAGCCUUUUCUGUUCAAGUCUAUUUCUUUUCUUUGUAUGAAUCUAAAAUAAAAAUAUAUAAAAAAUCAAUAUUAGACAUUUAGAUUAGAACUAGAAACAUAAAAUAUUAAAAUAUUACAAGACAAAGAAUUAAUUGAAGGAAUUUACCAAUUCAAAGGUGCUCCAAUUCCUCUCAAGCCCAGAUGCACUACAAGUAAGGCUAAGGACUCGAACAGCAAACUUCGUCAACUCUGGUGUCUCCCUCCCAAAACGCAACCACCAAUUGACUAAAAGAAUCCAACAAUAAAAAAAAUAUGAAGAUCCAACAAUAAGAAUUCACAGAUAAUUCAAUUUUCAAAUCCAAUAAUAAGAGUUCACAAAUGAAUAGAAGGACCAUACUUGGUGAUCGCAAUUUCCGGCAUUUCAUUGCUACUUCACUUCCAAAAUCUCCUUCUGCAUAAAUAUAAUUGUCCAAUUGGCAAUCCGCUUGAACACGUUCAUCUCCACUCAACAUCAUAUCCAUGCAUGCACACAAACCUUCCCUCACUUCUUUAGAGUUUGUGAAAGUUUCUUCAUAAUGCAAUUGUGGGUUCAAAUAAUAACCAGCAGCAUGCAAAGGGUGAUGACGUUGUGGACCCCAUCUUUUAUCAAUUUUAUUCCAAAUUGGUUUGUACUUUCUCUCCACAUUUCCACAAUUGAAGGCAAUCUUCUCCUUUACUGCAUCCAUCAACUCAUAAAUAUAGCCCAUUGCAGGUCUCUCUUCUGAAUCAACCUCCCUUAAAACAGAGACAAGUGGAAUAACCACCUUGAUGCAAAAGGCAGCGUGAGACCAAAAAUUAGCAUCAUGUAGUACAAUUUUACGAGCCACAACUCAAUCCUUGUUUUUGGCGAAUGGACCAUUAUGCCAUUCUUGGGAGGUGAACAUAGACAUAAUACCUCUCUUAGCCUUAUAAAUGCUCUGAAGUGUGAGAUAAACAGUGGCAAAGCGUGUCACCGCUGGACGGAUGAUCUCUUUAUUGUUAGUGUAAUGCCUCAUCAAAGAAAGGACCCAUGAAUGUCCAUAAAUGAACUUCACUAAUUGCUUACCCUUUUGAAUAAUAUUUUCAAAAACUGUUAACUUGCUAAUAUCUUCCAGCAUUAAAUCAAUGCAAUGGGCAGCACAUGGAGUCCACCACAAUUUCUUCCUCUUCUCCAUAAGCUUUUUCCCCGCAUUCUUGUAAUUUGAUGCAUUAAUUGUAAUCACUUGAACCACAUUCUUUUCUCCUAUUUCUUCUACUACAUCAUCCAAGUACUUGAACAUCAAGUCUUCAUAUUUUAUUGUAUCAGAGCCAUCAACUGAUUUCAAGAACCAAGUCCCGCGAGGACUAUUCACUAGAAAGUUAAGAAGAACCCAAUUUUUUCCAUCUGUCCAACCAUCUAACAUGAUGGUACACCCAUAUUCAUUCCAAGCGUUUUUAUGUUCAACCAUUGUUCCUUGAAUAUCUUCAACUUCUUGCCUAAGGAUCCAAGUCUUCAACUCAUGCAUGGAAGGGGGUUUGAACUCAGGACAGAAAUUGGAAAUUCCUUCCAUCAUGGACAAAUAAAAAGGACUAUUCACGGCAUUGAAUGGAAUUGCACAAUUGAAGAACCAACGCCCAAUCUUUCGGCACACAUCAUUCCUUUCAUCCUUUUUUAGCUUGGUAUUCAGUGUAGCUUGCUGAGCUUCAGAAGACACAUACUUAUCAAGGGGUCCUCUAGGCCUAGGGGGAGCUAGAGAACUCUCGCCACUUGGAGUUGGGGUACUCCCACUCCCACUCCCACUACCAAUUCCAUCUUCGGAUUGUUCCAUUUCAUUGGAAGCAUUACUCCCAAAUUGGCCUAGCUCACGAAGUGAUUCUUUUUUUUUCUUUUGGACAGAUAGCUCAUGAAGUGAUUCAUUUCGCUUCAUAUUGAUCGCCUUAAAAUUUUUCAAAUAAUCACUACAUUUGGCUUUUACAUUUGGUGGAACCUUUGGACAAGGCUUCAUACCAUGGUGAGUAUGAGCUAAGUGAUUUUUGAGCCUUGUAAUACCUCCGGUGCAUUGUUGAUUACAAAAAGAGCACCUCAAGUAUCUUUCUCCUUCAACUUGUAUCCCCCACUUCCAAGCAAAAUCCUUUUUACUCGUCAUUAUGAAUUUGCAGCAACAAUAUCAAACCAAAUACCAAUUCUUCCAAAAUAAAAAAACACAAACCAACAUACAAAAUCUGCAAACAAAAAACAACUUAACUAAAUAUGCCAUAAAAAAAACAAUAUAAACAAAUUUUCCAAAAAACACAAUGUGGUAAUUAAACAACUGUAAACUGUGCUAAAGAGAUACUAAACUAAUGUAUAAUCAUAUUCUAAUUAAGAGAUAUCGGUCAAUGGGAAUUGCUAAGAAUUAUAUCAAAAGAAAAAAAAGAAAAAAAAAAAAGACUUGGAAAACAGCAAUACAGGGAUGAGGAAUUGGUGUUUCAUAGCUUUAUAUACAUCAAUGAGCUAAGUAAAGACAUGCUGGAGCUUAAGGGAAAAUAUGCAGGAUUGUUUCUCAAUUUGCGGAGGUCGAAAGAGCGAGACAAAAGCUAAUGAACGUUCGAAUCGCUCCUCAGGAGCCUCUUAUCAAAAAAGAAAUCAACAGUAGCCUAUGAACCCUCACAAAAUCAAAACAAAAAAUAAAAAUAAAAAUAAAAUAAAAAAGAAAAACCUGGGUUUGACGAAAAUCCACCAAUUUCUACUCAAUUAGUGCUACAUCACAGCCCAAUAGCUUGAAGAUUUUCCGAAAACUAACUCAAUGUUUGCUUCAGAUUAUGCGGAGAAUUUGCGGUUAGGGCUGGAGGCGUUUUUGAGAGGUGAAAUGCUCGCGAGUCGUGACUGGAGGCGCGUCUGGGUUUUAAAAAUUAACCCUAAUAUAGAAGAGCGGCGCGUACGCUACGAAGUGCGCUGUGCGAACGCUAUUUAAUAUGCAUGACGUCCCAAGCAAUUUAUCUGUCUUGUUUUUUUUAUAAUCCAAGUCCAAAGCAUUUUAUUUACAGUUUUAUAUUUCCUUCUUAUACCAAAGGGUAUUUGAAAAAACAUUAUGACUUCAUAUGAGCCAUCUUCCUGUAGAGGAAUGCCAAAUGAUAAGGAUAAUUAAAUAAUAUAUAAGCAAAUGGGAUGCAUCAUAAGGCACCUAUUAUUCAUUUCAACGCCCCUGUUUUAAUUUAUAAUCCAAAGGACAUUUUACAUGAUACAAACUCAAAAAUCGAAAAUCAAAUAAAACACAGCAGAGCAAACAAACAAUAAAUUUUGACUUCUAUAGAUCAAAAUAAUUAAAAUGAUACACCAAGACCGACAUAAAGAUUGUUACAAUUAAUCCUCUGUUGCUGCAGAGCAGAACUCAAAUGUCAAAGUGGGAAGAUGGAAAAAGCUAGAUACAAUUAUAAAUGAAAGAAGAGGACAAAACACCUAUACAGAGUUUCAGCUUUUACUUUUUUUUACUUCAAACGACGUUCCAUCUUUUAGAGUUUCCUGCGCAUCAUUGUCCAUCCCUAGGCUCUUUAGGGCAGCUGCUUGAAGAUAGAAGGCAGUGGGCCAUUCAGGGUUUAUUACUAGGGCUUGCAUAGCAUCUCCAAGAGCUUCUUGUGCCAUAUCAUUCAUCAAGUAACAUAAGCAACGUCUAGCAAACACAGUUGGCGAUAUCAUGGUCCCACCAUCAAUGAACUGCAAUGAAGAGCAACAAGAUCCACCUAGGAGUAAGAUGAAAAGUGAAUGCAAUCCUACUCUAUCUGUCAUAUGCAUUGUCGUAGGCUUGUAAAGCUAAUAUUUCCUAAGGAAUUAUCAUUUCUAAUCGUGUGAGGUUAUCUGAUUAUACAAAGUCAUAGCUUUCUAUUUGCAAGACAGAAAAUUUAAAUUCUUGAAACCCCACUACUAAUAACUUUGUCUAACUUAAGUCCAGAUGAAGAAGCAAAUUAUAUCAUUAAUGCUUUCAACUGAGUGACUGCCAUUGCAAUAUCACCAUGUAUUUGAAUAUGUAUCUGGAUUUUGAUGAAGGAACUUGUGACAUGCAAACUUUGCAUUUGGAUAAAAUCUAAUCAGAUUCAAAUUAUUUUAUUUUUAUUUUUAUUGAUUCCUGUCAAAAAGUAUAAAUUUGUGACUUACUUCUGUGUAAGAAUCUAUCGCGGUAACAAAAUCCUUAGCUCGAAAUGCAGCAUCCCCAUGCUUCUUAGAAUUCAAUGUCUCUUGUAUUUGAUUUGUCCACAUUUGGAAAGAAAGCUGCAAGGUAACUUCAAAGUAAGGGCAGUGCAUUACACAAAAUUAACAUUAAAAGUUUGCUCAUACACGUAACUGAUGCAAAACUUGAUGACAGAAAGGAUAGUAAUAAUGGUUGGCAGAUGUCAGAAAAUAUAACAUAGAAAAGUUAGAAUUGAGGAUCACUAACGUCAUUUGCAACCCCCUCAUCAUCCUUGUAUCCAAGCUUCUCCAGUAUUUCAUGUAUUGCAGUAAGAUCCAGUCUCGAGCAAGCUUCACCUAGAGGUGAUAGCAAUGUCUGAUUCAGAGGUGCAUUUCCAUGCGGAAUACCCAGCAAAACAUAUGAUGGAACCUGCUACAAACCACUACAUGAGAUGAUAUAUUUACCUUCAUGGUAUUCUAUUUGCAGCAUUACUGCAAAUGAACUUUGAAAAACAGAGGCAGCAGAAAUCAAAUUUUGAAGCAUAUAGUAAAGAAUAAAUAAAGUUGGGCAUCAGCACACCUCAGUUUCUUUUUGAAGAGGAAUGAGGGCAGUCACAAGAGACUUGGCAUUUGGCCUCUCACGAGGUUCAUACUGCAAGCAUCGUGAAGCUAACCUCACCAGCUCAGUCCCAUCAUCAUUUGAGAAAUGACCUUCCAAGCACGAGUCAAUCAGCAUCAAAAAGUUUUUGCCCCGUAUCAGGUCAAGUGCCUUCCAGAAAGAAAAUUGGAAAUUAUAAUUAUAAUUAUAAUCAGAAUCCAAUUCAUAAAAUUUUAAGCCAGUUAUAUAAUCAGGAAGUUAUGAGAAUACGAUACAACCAGAUAGGUUUGACUUAGACCAAUUUUAAACACAAGUUACUUUUGUAGGGCGUAAUUUUCCACUGGAUGACCAAGAAAAAGAAAAUCAGAGCAACAAUUCACCUAGAAUUUAUUAAUGAAAAGAAAAGUUACAUGACUUGGAGGGAUAUGUUUCCCACUGAGCAGAUCAAGCAACAGGGUACCAAAGCUGUAAACCAAACUUUCUGGUAUCACUCUUCCUGCCAAACAGAGAUAAGCUUUAGCUCGACUAAAGAUUUUUAUGAGGCCAUGCUCAUGCACAGAAAUAUAGAAGCUUGAAAGUGCUUAUGCGAAUGAGAAUGCUACCAGACCUCAAUUAUCAAGGAAUUGAGGUCCCUCUUAAUACAUGUAGUCUUCAUCACAAAUAAAGACUUUAUCACAUUAUGAUGCGUGUGUUCAGAACUCAUGCAUGAAAAUAUGGAAGCACUAAGCCCUUUUUCCAAUGAAAUUUCCUGGGAUAAGGAAAUAUGCAAAGGAGAUCAUGAAUGACACAAACACAGCCAGCCCAAAAGGCCACUACUCUGCCAUCCCUGAUCGAAUCAUCGGUAUGGUGGCCACUUAGUACUUAUCAACUCACUAAUAUGAAAACGCAUUAAAGGGAACUUCAAUUGCUCCACUCAUUAGUUGAGGUAUGCAUAGCAUUCUCACUUGUUUUUCCCCUCCAGUUAUUUUCAUAAAAGAGAAUCUUUGCAAAACAAACGGAAGUUUUAACUCUAGAAAGCAUUGCAUUUGGAAUUUACAUGGGAAGACAUGACAAAACUAUGUUUACAGGGAGGAGGCAAAAACAAAAAGAUGGAUCGGGAUCAUGAUGUCUUUUUCCCUCUCAACUUUCCCACCCAUCUCCCUCCUAUCAAACUUAGUGUAAAAGUUAUAACAUCAAUAUUGUUUUCAAUUGGCUGAAGCAAUGAUGGGAUUAUUACCUGUCCUCAAGUACUCUGGAGGGGUGAAAGCCAGGUUGGUACUAUAGCUCUUCCCAUCUUUGCUAUUCUUCAUUAGACCAAAGCAGGAGAGUCUGGGAUUCCCAUCCUGUCAUUGACAACGUGUAAGGAAUGGCCAACAAAAGAUUACAUCCAAUUUUGAAAAAAGAAAAGGACCAAAUUACCUGAUCGAAUAGGACUCUGUAAGCAUUAAGAUCAUGGUACAAUGCCUGCCCUUUACUGCUGCAAUAAUCUAAAGCUUGUGCAAGAUACAAAGCCACUCGCAACCUCAUCGCCCAUUUCAUCGGCUGGGUCUCCCCUGCACCAAUUUAACCAAUUUACUACCUUUAUUUAUUUCAGCCCAAGUAAGUAGCAGUUUUAUUACUUCUAAAAAUGUACUUUAAAAAAUCAAAAUCUUGAAUGAUCUGUGUCCUCAAUUAUUAUACACCUACUUAACAUCAAAAUAAGCCAAAUUUAACAACAUUAGAGGGGAACUUACAAUGGAAAAGAUGCUUAGAGAGAGUUUCAUUGGGCAUGAACUCAGCGACAAGCAAUCUCUCAUCACCCUCGCAGCAGCACCCGAUCAAAUUCGCCAAACGCUCGUUCCUGAGCAGCCCCACAGCUCUAGCUUCCUCCUACAACCAAACCCAUCACAUAUCUUCACACACAGAAUCAUAAAACAUAAAACAAAAUAAGAAAGAAGCAAAAUUUAGUCAACUUCCAUACUCACCAGAAAUUGGCGCGAAUCGGGCCAAGCUGAUCGGUUGAAGCGCUUAACAGCAAUCCAACGGCCAUCGUCGAGCGUCCCUUUGUAGACCACAUUGGGAGCUUUCUCUCCAUGCUCGGAGACAACGUUCUCGGACGAGAAUCCUGACGUGGCAGCUUUCAGUUGGUCCAAGGUGAACUCACUGAACCCAGGCAGCGAGUCCUUCUCAUUUUUGUUCCCAUUCUCUGCAGCUCACCAAAAACAAAGUCCAAAUUUUCUCGGGAAAGUGACGGAAACACAAAAAGUUGAAACGAACAAAAAGAGCAAGAACAAGAAAAGCUCACCUAUGUCUGAAGAGUCGUUAAGAUUGGAUUUGAUGUUGGACGGCCAGAAGCAAAGAGAUAGCUUGGAGCAACGAGCUCCCAUUGGCUGAUGAAUCCAAUCCUAGAGAGAGAAACAGCUGGAAAAGUUCAAAUAUGUGUCUCUGAUUUCCUCUCUCUAGAAAGUAUGGCUCUCUUUCUAUCACUUUCCUGGGGACUAGUAAGAAGGUUUGAGAGGAGUUUUUGGAGGAGAGAUGGAUAGGGUAGGAAAAUGAUGGAGAAUGAAGAAGAAAGAUGGAUAAAUAAAAACCAAGACAGGCAUAUUUCUCUUUUGCUCUUUUGUUUAUUUUGUUUAUUUUGUGUUUGGAAGUAGAGAAAGUGUGAGAAAAUUUCUAAACCCAAAAGUAACUUUUUGGAUCCAAUGUUUUCUUUGUUUUUCUGUUUCUUUCUCUCACACCUUUCCUUCGUUUUCUGCAUUUCGCUCCUCGUUUUUUUCUUUUCGUUUUUAAUCCCCUUCUACGCUGUUUCUCGUUUUUCGUUGCUUUUUCUUUUCCCUUUUGCUUUGGUUACGUUUUUUUAUUUUCUCUUUCCAUUUUCACUUUUAUAUAUUAUCAAUCUAUACAUGAAAAGUAUUAGAGCUACUAAAUUCUUCUCCAAUUUUAGAAACCAAAUAGUUUAAUAAUUACAAAAUAGAAUCUUACUCAUAAAAAAUAAGUAAAGUUUAAACUAAGUCAAAAAUAUCAACAAGAUCGCAUUAGUGGAAUUCAAAACUUUCAACUUUGUUAGUAUUAAAUUAAUCUUUAUUUACGACAUAUGUUGCGUUUUAUGAAAAAACUUAUCGUCUGAUUGUGAAUCUGCAUUACAUAAAUUUAAUAUAAAUAUAUGAUCUAAGAAAGGAAAUAUUAAUGUAAUGGAUUACAUGUUAGACUUAUUUUCUAGUCAAAUAUUACAUCUUAGACUAAGUUUAGGUAAAGUUGCAGUUAUGGAUUAAAUUUAAUAAUGUAGUGUCAUUUUCAACCUAAUCUUUGAAACCAAAAGGACUGAAAAUGGUGAGAAGAACCUAGCCUAGCAUAUCAAAUUUAAAGCUGACUUAGUGCACAUUGUAUAUCUUCUCUGUCAACCCAAAAUUUUAAUUAAAAAAUGCAGUCAAUUUAUUUAGUUUACACGAAGUUGGACAGUUCAACUACGCAAAUAAAGAACACAUCCACAUUUAUGUGCACAUAAAAUAUGAAAUUAAUAAAGCAAAAUGCAGUGCUUUAGCCAGACAUGCCUCGAAUGAUGAAGAAUGCAUUCAACCUGAUAUCAGGAUCUUCUUGACCAACUUUUCCAGCUCUUUUAUGCAGAAAAUAAAUAUUUUUAAAAAUAAAAAUAAAAAAGUUGUAUAUUAUCAUAUAAAAUAGCUGUUUACAGCCCUAAUUUUAUAUUAAUAUGUUAAGAUUUCAGCACAGGAGGAGGGGGAAUUCUCACACACAAUUAAGAUACAAUGGAAGUUCAAACCUAAGAUCUCUUUCUAGAAGUCAAUACCUUUUUCUAUUAUAAUAGACCUUAUCGGUAUUUUUUUCCUUUUUUUUAUUUAAAUUUUAUGGUGGUGUUCUUGGAUUUGGGAAGUAUGGGAAAAAGAUGAGGUCUUUUUGGGUCUUAUGAAAUGUACCUUAAUUAUAUUAUAUCCUAAAUUUAGAUGCAAGGCCACGUUAGCUCGUGGACCACAUGCAUAGAAUAUUUUCAACAAAAGGUGUCCUGACCAUACCCAUUCAUAAUUUCGUUCAUCUGCUUCACUAUGAUCCUUAUUGUUUUUUAACAAAUGUGGUAGGUGAGGUCAAUCAUAAUAAUAUAUCCUAAACUAAGAUAAGGUUCUAAGGAAUAUGUAUUCGAAAUAUUCAAUUAGAAGAGAUUAAGAAUUUAAUUCUCGAUGCAAGUUGGAGUCGCAUGUUGAAAAGAAGUAUAUGGCAAAGUUUAAUGACUUGCGUCAAUCCAAUGUGGUUAUAAAAUCCCACAUCACCAUCACCACCAUGACCAACUAUGUCAAUACUCUGGAUCACAUUGUCGUACCACAUAAUGUUAUGCGUGAUGUUACUAACUCAUGUUCUAUAAUAUUAAGGGGUUAUUGAGUUGAUAUGUCAUGAACUUAAGUAGAUACACGUGUUAUAACAUGACUAAACUAAUAACACUUGUUAUAUUAUGUGACUAUUGGAGUUGUUGGAGGCAUGUAAAACCUUUCCACAUCACACAAAUAUACUAGGCAUAAAACAAUUGGUUUCUUUUUCUUCUUCUUUUUUUUUUUCUUGGAUCAUUUGUAUAAAGUUAUAUAUAUAUAUAUAUAUAUAGAGACAUCAUGAGAACAGGAUGAGAUAAGAAUCCACUUACGAGAAAAGGGUUUAGGGCUAGACUACAGGACACUGACGAAUUUGGGAAAUUUGAAUGUGAAAACCCACAGGCCAAAACAAAGACUCUUGAAUUCCAUGGAUUUGCCAUUUUACUUUCUUGUACUAUUUAUUUCCCAAAACAGUUGCUCAGAAAACCAGAACUGGAGGCAGCAACAUACCUUUUUCCAUUUCAGCAAAACAUCCAUCCCAGAGAGGAAGUCCAUGCAAAUGACAUAAUUGCUAUCUUUUUGAUACAUUUGAGUUUGACAUUGGGAGGGAUGAACAGAGUUUAGAUAUUAUGUUGGCACUAAAAGUUAAGAGACUUGCAGCUAAAAAGGAAAAGAAACAGUUGCUCAGAUAGUGAUGGGAAAGCAAGCAAGAGAGGCAUGUGAUGUAACAAGCGCUGUCUCCAAUAUCAUGCUUCAACAACCUAUGAAAAGAGAGAAUAUACAUGGGAAAAAAGAAAGGGCAUUUGGAAAGCAAAAGGGUUGGUGGUCCUUGUGGGUCAUGAGACAAGAAGCAUUAUUAAUUGCAUAAUUGGGUCAUGCCAGCCCUAAAUUGCUUCCUCUAGUUACUGUGCCCUUUGAGAAUAAUGCUAAGCCCUCUUGUCUUGUAUUGUAUGUGAUGCCUCUCCCAUUCUUCACCCCACGCAACCUGUUUUGUGGACCAAAUUUUGAAGCAAUCUUUUUAAACAUGACAACCUGGUGCUCCAACACAAUGACUUGGAUUUCAUCCAUAGUCACCACUUUUCUUGACUCAUUCCUGUGCAUACAAUCUCUAUAAUUCAUUUCUGUGAUGAUGACGACAAAGGUGAUAAUGAUGAUGAUGAUGAUGACUAUGAUGACGGUAUAUGUAUGAGUAAGAGUUAGCUGCACAAAUAUGAUAUGGGUGACACUAAACAGUGAAAAAGUGGUUACUCAUGAGCAUACUAAAACCUAAAACAUUCCAUUUCCAGCAAUAAUACAAAUUACGUUCAUCAGCCUCGCUAAAGAGACAAUAUUGCAUCUGUUGAAGCAACUUAGGACUUUUAACAGCAGCAAAACCAUCUUCAGCUUGUGCUGCUCAUCUAUGUACCAUAUAAUGCUAAGUAUGUUCCUAUCUCGAAACUUUUGAUUUGUCAGCCCUCCUAUCUGGAGACAUGCAUUACACAUGAUGUUUGCAUCCACAAAAUGAGGUCAAACUAAAGAGGACAAUAAGAAAUAUUUACUGGUUUUCCAGACUCAAGUGGUAAUGUUGGCAGAAUUUCCAUUCCGGAAUUUGUCAAGCUCUUCUCUGUUCUUGCUAUCUUUAUCUCUGCUGCUUAUUGGUAGCAGUUGUUGAGAUGUAGAACCAAGAGACCGAUCAGGCAAUUCUGUGAAGGAGAAGAAUACAGUCAGCACAUACACACCUUUGGGUAUUCUAAAGAGCUUGACAAUUACUGCCCAUAGAAAGUUCUGUUUUGUUCUAAAUAUACAAAACUGAAUCAAAUUUAGACAUGUUCAUGAUCUAACAGUAAAAUGGAAUCCAGAACAAAUUUUACCCAUUUUUAAGAGGGAGAAAAAAUUAUUGGAAUUGCAUUUUGCUAACCUGGCAAUUUUUGGUCAAUAAAGAACACUACCAAAUUUACAGUGUACCUGCAUGGGAAUAUAAAACUUAAGCUCGACCAAUAGAUUAUUAAAUAUUCCAGUAGAGUAAUUUCAAAAGCAUAACAGGAUCCAUCUCUCACCAGGCAACAACAAUGUCAACAGUGUAAUGUUUGCGAGAUGCUACAAUCAGGAGGCUCUGAAUAACAGCCACUAACCAAGCAAUCUGCUUAAUGCACCUGUAAUGAUAAGCCGCAGUAGUGUCAAAAAUUUAUACUAGUUUAUCCAUUUAGAAGAUAUCCUUAGAAAAGUGAAAUUGACUAAUGACUCAAGCCCCCAACCCCUCGGACAUCAGUACAUGGAUUGCUUUACUUUCCUUCUUUGACCUCAUUAUUGGGGAACCAGAGGACAACAGCCCCCACCCCAAAAAAAAGAAAUAAGAACGGAAAAGAUGCAGCUAAUAGUAAUUGUUACCUCUUUGUUCCAUAUUUCUGAUAUGUGCGCACAAAUACUAAGGUAAAAAUCAUAUGUGAUGAAAAGAUCAAAUCACCACAACCAUACAUUACUCCUCGGGGAACUGCACAAUCAUGCAAAUCAUAUAAGCAUGAAGAAGAUUAUGUUUUAUGAAGUUAAUGAACCAUUAAAAAUUAAAAGAUGAAUAAUUUAAACCCACAGUUGAUUAAGAGCACUUCAAGUGCACUCUCUGGAGGGGGCAGCCUGGCAAGUUUUGAGCCCUGAAAGAGACAGUUGUACCUGAUUGUAAAACAUCGUUUAAUAACAACUACUUAAUGAUUAUUGAUUACAGCGAACUAACAACCGAAAUUGCAAACUUCUAUAAACUUUACCUCGCGGCAAUGAUAGUUUGGACCAGGAAGCAGAGUUGAGUAGAAGGUUAUAAUCCGGAGCAUUUGAGAGACCUAAACAAAAUGCAACAUAUACGCAAAGAAUUUGUCAGAAAAUAUAGCAGAAAAACACAGGAUACUAUUAAUCCAUUGAUCCAUGAAUCAGUGCACGAGUCAAAACUUCAACAACAACAAAAAAAGCACAUAAAUCAUGCAUUCUUUAUUCAUAUAUGGAAGACUGUCCUGAGUGCUAUUCCCAGUCAGAUGCUUCAGAAAAUGAACCAAGCUCAAGAACUAGUAUCAUAUAAGCAGGACACAUAAUGCAAGAACAUUGGGUUGAAAGAGGAAAAUACAGAUGACUCUGUAAUUAAUGUAAGCAUAUUCACCAAAUUUUCAUCGACGUCGAUAUUUAUUGCAUACUAGAAUAUUCAAAACACUUGGGAAAAUUAAAAAGGAUUUAUAACACAUAUAUGUAGCAUGUGAUGAUGAUAUGGCUACUGAUUAAACUGUUACCUGAUAAGAGCCCAUAUUAAACCAAAAGGGAAAACAGUUUCAAUGGUAAGCCUUUAUAAUGCCAAAGCAAAAACUCAAGUUUUUCCAGCAAAGAACCAAUGACAUAUGCAACCUAGGUGAAUGAACUUCCUGAAGAGAGAGAGCAAUAAGGAAGAUCUAAAAGGAAGAGUUUAAGCAGCUAAGGGUGUAGUCUAGCACAUGUAAACAGCAAAAACAACAUUGGUAAAUAUCAGCUGUACUUACGCCUAAAUAAGCAAAUACUCUGCACCAUAUCAGAACUGUAUAUAUCUUUUUGUACUGGAAAACAAAGGGGUGAAAAGUCCACUGCAACAGAAUAAAACUCUGGAUUAGGAUGCUACCUAAGUUCUGUAAGUAAUUAGGAGCAAAAACUAAAGAAACGGACUGCAAGAACAACUGGCCCUUCAAAUACAUGAGAGACAAAUCCAGGAUAAAUUUAAAGUAGAUGUUGAUAUUAGAAAACAGAAAGGCUUACCAAGACAAAGGAGAAAAAGAUGACUGAAAAGAGAGUCUCACUAAGAUAAGUUCUGUCUUGACCAAGUUCCUAAGAUAUCACAAAUCAACAGAAAAUAAAUGAUAUGACAAAUGUUACAUAAAAAACUAAAGCCUCCGGAUAAAAAUCCUUAAAAGUAUGCCCACCGGGAGGAAAAAGAACCCAGCAUCCUGAAGCGUCGGUCCUGGCCGAUGUAAAUAAUGAACACCAUGAGCAGCUAGUCCAUGAAGAUACUGUUAACACAAACAAAACUACUAUAUAAGCACUGAACAAGAGCCCCUGCAAAAACAAAAGAGGGAAAAGGAAAAGCCUAUGAAGAGGGAAAGUAGUUUGGCUCAGAACAUAAUUUUUUGUCCAACACAGAAAGGUUUCAUAUCACUGAGAUCAGCCCAUAAUUCUUCUCUGGCUUACACACAUUUGCAGAACAAAUAGUGUGAAUUAAACCAACACCAUUCAAUCCACUGCAUUGAAAUUCAAGUUUAAAGCCCAACUUGAAACAGAACAACUAUGACUAGUAGUAGUUCCAUAUAAUCAUGUAGUUCAAACCAUUUCUAAUUAACUUUUUCUAAUGGAAUAAGCUUCCAGCAGUUCACAAGUUACAUGAACAUUCAAUACAAAUUAAUUGCCAACAAUAAUUCCUAGUUUAAAAAAAAAAUGAAGCAGAAAGAGAAAAAGAAAUGAACCUGAAAAACGAGACCAGCAAGAAAAUACUUCCAAUUCCCGGCAAGAAGCGAAAUUUCAGUUGACGUCUCUGCGCAUACUUUCCUCCAUAGCUUCACAUUUCAAACAACACCAAAAAAUCAAUGAAACUUGGAAUUUGUCCCAAAAAAAAAAAGUGGAACGAAAACAGCAAUGGCGGGCUUCAUUGUAACCUUGGGAGCCUCACGAGCAAAGAUAACCGGCAUUUUGGAAUAUGAGGUUAAAGCUCGUCAUCAAUCAGCAUUAAGAACUCCAAAUAAACCGCUAUAAAUUGGAAUUCGAAUCGUCCAACGUGAUAAUAAAUUUAAAUUUAAAUUGAAAAAAAAAAUUCGCAGAGAAAAUGGAAUUGGAGUUUUGAUUUCAAAAUUCGAAAAUUAGGUUUGGGAUCAAUAGGAAUCUAUCUAUAUCUAAUCUACAGCAACAGAAUUUCACCAAAUUCAAAACUCUCUCCGACUCUUUUUGUCUCUCUCAGUCUUCUCGGUCUCGGUGGUGGCAGUUGAGAAAGAAGGUUUUCCAAGUGGGGGGAGUGAGAUGGGAAAACCAAAUAAUUAAUUUAAAAUAAAAUAAAUACUUGGGACAAAAGUUUUCAAAACAUUUUUCUUUUUUUCCUGGGUUUUUUGUUUUUUUUUGAAGAAGAGUCAGCAAAUCUGCAUGACGUGUCCAAUAAGCGUGCAAAGAAGGAACGCGCUCACGUGGCAAGCCGAUGGAGAACCUAUGUCGGCUACAACUUUUUAUUUUAUUUAUUAAAACGUCGGCUACAACUUUCGAAAACAAGUUUUAACCCGAUAGAUAUCAGGGAUGAUGGACCCACUAUAGUAUGGGUCCCACUUCAUUUCUUCAACUCUAUCGCACAAUGUAAUUGACCCAAAAAUAGAGAGAGAUAAGUCCUAGAUAAACCACAGAAGAAUGAGAUAUAGUUUAGUGAAAAAGGAUCUCUGAUUGCAGACCGACAGUUUUAGAUUCGGAUUUUAUAGCAUAUUGGCAGUGUGUGUGAAACUCCUCUCCUCAAAUAUAGUUUGUAUACAAAAUCACAAUAGGAGGAAUUUCCGAAAAUCAAAACGAAUUUUUACAACUACAAUAAACCAAAAUUUAGAAAACCAAUCAUAAGGUUGUGUAAAUUUAUGUCAUAUAUUGAUCAGAGUAUCUAGUACCAUAUUAGCUUCUUGAUAAGUAUGAUGAAUUUCUACUUUGUCCAACUGAAAAGGAAGGUAAAGAUCUCAUCCCGAGUGACAGUUAAAAAAACCCUAAUCCAUUUUCCCCAGUUUAACAUAUUAAAUUGUCCCAUAAGAGUUGCUCUCCAUUAACAAAAGGCAAGGUAUAUAACCUUUUGGUGAGUCUAAGAUGCAAUGCAUAAUGACCAAAUACAACCCAUAUUGGAAAUGUAUACUAUAUAGUAGUGUCAUAGUUCCCACGCAAUGUAAAUGUAUCAUAUAUGUGUGAUGUGAGACGUCCUCCUUUUUGCUUUUGGCUUUCCUCCUAAGUUUUGUACUGCAUUCAAAAAGAAGCAAACCAGUGUUCCUUAAAGGUGCAGCAAAGAAAGCCACUUUCAUAAGAUUUCUCUUAGAGCACCCAGCAAU
rnacentral:lncRNA from 1 species